ensembl:lncRNA
AAAAAUAUUCAAUUUUUUUUUUUUUUUUUUACUCUAACACGUUUUAUUUCAACUCCAAGUACAGCACAAGUUGUUGGGAGGAUGUGGAUGUUUAGACAAUCCGAACAACCCCCUCCUCCUCUAUCUCCAGCAGAGCUUAAUAGGCCAUGGAGAUCAGUGAACUGGAGAGAGGAGAGGGAAAACCUUGUUAGAACAAUAAACAACUUCCAGUCUGGGAGCUCAGAAGUCGAGACUCUCAGAAUUCUCCUGCAUGGACCACAAGGUGCUGGAAAAUCAAGCUUCUUCAACUCUGUAAAUAAUGUUUUUGAGGGUCGCAUAACUACCAGAGCCUUGACACAAUCAAUAAAUUUUGGAAAAAGUUUCACUUUGGAGGUAAAAAAUGUUGAUCGCUAACCUAUAUAAUAUAUGAUAAAAUAUGUGCAUUUUCAAAAUAAGAAUCUUGAAAGCAAAACCUCACAUGCUUGGGUUUUGUUCUCAGUGCACAACAUUUAAAGUGAAGAAGGACAAGACUGGUUCUUUCUUUCCUUUCUCAUUCACUGACAUUGCCGGUAUGCACAAUGAAACUAAAACUGGAACAAUACAGACUGAUGACAUUAUCAAAUUAUUAAAAGGUCACAUUCUCGAUGGUUAUACUGUAAGUAUACUUAAAACAGACUUUUAU